GUUAGAUUGGUUAGUAGCAGUGGAAUGCUGCUGUAGUCUUUCUUCAACUCAGGUACACCCCAACUCAGAAUAAUCAUUCUUUAUCAGGAAAUGACUGAAACCCCUGGACUGCUUGGAUAAGGCUAUCUGGAAGAUCUCUCUUCUCUCGCUUUCCAUGACAAAUACAAUUCUUGAACAAAAAUGGCUGCUGGAUCAUAUAGCAGAGAAAAUAAGUCUUCUAUCUUUCCAAGAUGGUACCAGGAAGAAAAUACCAAAGUGCCUGGAAGAAGGAUGUUGACCAAAGAGAAGAGGUGAGCCAAUGGAGUGAUGGGCUUUCUGCUCUAGUAACCCUCUUGGACAGAAUCGUUGGCUUAUUUGUCUUUUGAGAUGUACCCUUGUUGAUGCCAUGAGAAAAUACCAAAAAUAAAACUUUCCAGGCCUACAGAUA